GGGUAGUGACUCAGUGGUAGAAUGCUCGCCUAACACGUGCGAGGCCCUGGGUUCGAUCCUUAGCACCCA
rnacentral:tRNA from 1 species